UUAAUUCAUUAUUUAAAUGACAAUAUUUAGCAUUUAGAAACAAACAAACAAUAUUUUAUACUUGAAUCUACUUAUCAAACUAAACUUCUUUAUCGAAUGUUUCUUCAUAAUUGAUGACCUUCCAUUGACCUUCUACUUUCUGUAGGUGUUCAUUACAAUAUUCCUCCUGUACUUCAGACCAGUUUUAUAAUUCUUUACAUUAGUGUCGCUUCCUUCAGCGCUUAUGACUGUAUGAGGUAUUGGAUUAAUUCAGAACCUAAUUUAUUUAUUUAAUCAUAUUCUUCACUUACAUUUUCUCUCCAAUCACCAAUUCUCUAUCCUUUCUUUUUCUAUCUUCUAUUAAUUUGUUCUUCUCUUUUUCUCUUUGUCUUACUUCAAAAUUAUUAUAAUUUUAUUUUCAAAGUCCGUAAGAAAAAGUAGCUUGUCUUUAAGUUAUCUUUCAUUGAAUAAAUCUGAGGGAGAUUUUCCCGGUAGUGGACCCAAGAAGUCAACAACCGUAUCCACACAGGCUUUCGAAGGCAGUUCAUGUCUUGUCAUGGGUACUGACUACUGAUGGAUUGGGAGCCGAGACUAAAGUACACCCUCUGCAGUUUUUACAGUAUUUCCGGCAUCUUUGUCUUUUUAAACUACCAGACUUUUGUGCGUAACAUAGCUAUUAAGACUUAUUUUCUCAACCUAGUGGGAAUCACUAUUUUAUUACCCCUUAACAAAAUGCCAACUUGUAACCAGAGUUUAUGUUGAAACAUCUUGUAAUUAUAUACUGAAGCAUCCCACACGUUAUUUAUCAAAGCAUUUUUUGACUAAUUAAACUCAUCAUCAUCAUUAGAUGCUUCAAUAAUCGAUUUAAUGGAUAACGCUACUGCACGCGCGUAUUAAACAAUCUGGUUAACAUGAUGUUCAUUUCAAAAGGACUAUUUUGUGCACUGGUACCCGUUGGUUGUUUGGUUGACUGGUUGGAUCGGUUAUAUUAGAUUUUCCAGGUUCAUAUAUUAUGACUUUAUAAUCAUAUGUUUGUAAACGGAGGACCCAGCACUCGAUGAUUGCGCAAGGCCUUGAUUUCAUGCCAAAAUCGACCUCUAGAGCUUAUGGUCUGUGACCAGCUCAAUUUUAUUACCAUAUGAAAAUGUUCAAUGGCCCACACUAAAGGCAAUGCCUCUUUGUCUGGUUGACAAUACCGAUUUUUCACAUCUGUUAAACUUUUAUUUCCAAAAGAAAUGAACUGUCGUCGUACUGAGUUAGUUACAGUUCCUAAACCCACAGGACUCGCAUCAGCAAUCACUUGAGUACGAUCUAUUGGGGCAUAGAAGUCAAACGUAGGGAUCUUUGAGAGACAAUUUUUUUUUGUCAAAAGCUUUUGAUUGUUCGCUUUUCCCAAAUUCCGUCAUAUUAGCAUUUUGUUGAAGUAAUUGCCGAGUGGGUCCCGUUAAGGUUGACAAAUUAGGAAUCCAUUUCCCAACAAAAUUAACUAAUCUUGGAUUUCCUCAAUGGUUUUCGGUGAACUAAAUGUUUCGACGACUUCCAUGUAUUUAUUGGGGUUUAAUGCCUAAUGAUGAAAGUUUGUGACCAAUUUUUUUUUGCAUUUAAAACACAUUUAUUAUUAUUCAAUAAAAUGUUGUUGUCCUUUAGAACUUUUAAUACGUUUUGAAGCCUAGCACCAUGUUCUUUUUCAUCACGUCUAAAGACAACCAUAUCAUCUAUAAAGUUUAUAACUCCUUCGCAUGGCAAUAACAUUCUCUGCAUAAUUUUUUAAAAUCUUCAGGUGCGCACGAUAUUCCAAAAACCUUUUGUUUCGAUAAAGCCCUUUGCUCGUUAUGAAAGUUGUACUUUCUCUACUAUUUUUGAGUUCAACCUGAUAUUAAUUAAUCAGCGUUCUUAAUAUCUAAUUUGCUUUGCCAAAUUUGCGAAUGAAUUGCUCCAUGGUGGAGAUUGGAUGGUUUUCUUUAAUGAUGGCUUUGUUAGCAGCACGCAUAUCCCAAUAAAUACGAAUAUCAUCGUCAGGCUUAAGAACCGGUACCAUUGGAGAAACCCAAGAAGGUUUAUUUACAUUUUCAAUUGUGUCCAAUUUUACCAGUUCGUCUAUUUUUUAUUUAUCUUUGAUUCCAAAGGAAUUGGGACUCGUCUGUAAGGUUGAUAAACUGGGGAACUGUUUUCUCAAUAGUAAUAUCUAAUUGGCAUCUUGGAACUUGGAAAAUUGUUUUUGUUCAAUGGAAUUUACAUCAAAACUUAGUUUUAGUACUUUUAAUGACUUCAUUUUUAUCUUUAUUUUACUAUUAUUUUUUACUUUGCUUAUGUAAAGUCUAUGUAUGUCUUUCUUAACUAAAUAUUUUUUUAUUUUAUUUAAUUUAAGGUAAUAUUCAAACACCAGUUAGAGUGGUAAAAUGUAUGAGGCUCAUCAGAGAUUAUUUCAACACAUUGUAUAUACUUUAUCGAAUAAAU